rnacentral:rRNA from 1 species
AAAGGGGCUUCGGCCCUGAGUAAAGUGGCGCACGGGUGAGUAACACGUAGGUAACCUGCCUCUAAGAUUGGGAUAACAUGUCGAAAGACGUGCUAAUACCGGAUGAGACCACAGUUUCCUCGGAAACAGGGGUCAAAGGUAGCCUCUAUUUAUAAGCUAUCACUUAGAGAUGGGCCUGCGUACCAUUAGCUAGUUGGUAGGGUAACGGCCUACCAAGGCAAAGAUGGUUAGCUGGUCUGAGAGGAUGAUCAGCCACACUGGAACUGAGACACGGUCCAGACUCCUACGGGAGGCAGCAGUGGGGAAUAUUGCGCAAUGGGCGAAAGCCUGACGCAGCAACGCCGCGUGAGUGAUGAAGGCCUUCGGG